UAGUUCAGCGAGAGUGGGAUUUGUGCGUGGGAGAGGAAGAACGAGAGCAGUAUAUAUAUCGGGUUGGGCCGAUCUUGAUCACUGCUGGCCCAACAGAAGUUGAAGGAUUCGUUGAGUUGGCUCCUGCUCUUUCUGCUCGAUCGGGUUUCAGAAUUGGGUUGCGGAAUUUGCCUUCAUCCUCUUGCCUCAUUGUUAUAUGAAUUCAAUCAGUUGCAGCACUGUUCUUAUCGAACCAAUAUCAAUAGUUUCUGAGUGAAUAACAAAUCACAUGAUGCGGCCCCUUCAUGCUGUGUGAGUAAGACCAAUGACUUGCCUAAAAUGGGGUGGUUUGAGGCGGCCUUUCAUCCUCCAUGUGCAUUUAACAAGUGCCUUGUCGUCCAAUGAGGUAGAAGCAGACAAAAAUUCCAACUCUCGGAGAAUCCAUGAGAUAGGUAUGCUUGCUUAUUUGAUGACAACUGCAUGUGUUCUUGCUGAAAGAUAUCUAUGUUUUAUCUGUCGACGCGCAAGUCUUCAUGUUCUUGUUCCUUCUGCUUUUCUUGUAAGUUCUCUAUUAUCUGCACUGGAUACAUCUAGAAGUGACCCUAUAUAAGGAACUGAAAGGUCUCUUCCACCUCCACCCCUUCUCCCUUCUCUGCCUUCCUUUCUCUUAGCUUUUCAGCUCUUGUAGGAAUCAAGAGAAAAUGUAUGCAUUGUUCUGGUCAUCGAUGACUACUUAACAUCUGACACAGGAAGUAUGUUGCAGCCAAGGAUGACUUGCCUACGAAAGUAGUAUCACCUUGUUCGAAGAAUAAGAGUUAGAGAGCGAUACCGUAGGCAAGUUGUCUUUGGCUACAUGUUGCUUCCUGAGUCUCAUGUUAAGUCUUGAGACGAAAAUAUAUGUUUGUUUCUUCUGUGAUUUGGAUUCAAACUAGGUAUAAAUUUCUAUGUUAUGUCU